CGAUCGCUGUCACCGUUCUGCAUUUCCCUGAGCCGCUAAUACCACCAUAUUCUUCCAAUUUCAUUCAUGUUCCGUGAGAGUUGGCUACUGCAGUUUCUGUUUUGGGGUUUUCCGCCAUUGAAGCUACCAUCAACAGCGCCACUCUCCAUUUUGAUUCCAAUUUUGUAAUUCGAAAACCUGCUCAACGUGCAGGUUGCCUGUUGAAGAAAAUUCUGCAAGUCAUUGAGUUGCAUGUUUCACAUCAAGCAAAAAGCAUAAAAAAUGAAAACAAUAUUUUCAAGGCUCGUGAGGAGAAGUACCAAUCAAGAAUAAAUGCACUUGAAACUCUUACGGCUGGGGCCACUGAAGAGAAUAAGGUAGUUUCUUUGUUGAUUAAGCUGGGGGUGUGAAACUUUGCUGUAGGGAAUAGAAAUGCAUAUGAGUUCUGUUGCUGAGAAGGUAUUUCUUUAUAGAUCCUCAUUUUUGUUAGAAGUUAAAACUUGAAGUUGUUAUUUUCAGCAUGAUUAAGUAGCUCAA